rnacentral:rRNA from 1 species
AGAUGGCGACCGGCGCACGGGUGAGUAACACGUAUCCAACCUGCCGAUAACUCGGGGAUAGCCUUUCGAAAGAAAGAUUAAUACCCGAUGGUAUAAUCAGACCGCAUGGUUUGAUUAUUAAAGAAUUUCGGUUGUCGAUGGGGAUGCGUUCCAUUAGGCAGUUGGUGAGGUAACGGCUCACCAAACCUUCGAUGGAUAGGGGUUCUGAGAGGAAGGUCCCCCACAUUGGAACUGAGACACGGUCCAA